rnacentral:rRNA from 1 species
CAGUCGCCGCGGUAAUACGAAGGGUGCAAGCGUUAAUCGAAAUUACUGGGCGUAAAGCGUGCGUAGGCGGUGAGUUAAGUCUGCUGUGAAAUCCCCGGGCUCAACCUGGGAAUGGCAGUGGAUACUGGCUCGCUAGAGUGUGUCAGAGGAUGGUGGAAUUCCCGGUGUAGCGGUGAAAUGCGUAGAGACCGGGAGGAACAUCAGUGGCGAAGGCGGCCAUCUGGGACAACACUGACGCUGAGGCACGAAAGCGUGGGGAGCAAACAGGAUUAGAUACCCCCGUAGUCCCUGUCUCUUAUAC